CCAUGCCUCAGUGGCAAAGCUUCUGCUUGGCAUGCAGAAGGUCUCAGGUUCAAUCCUGGGAAAUAGA
rnacentral:tRNA from 1 species